GGAGUUUGGUCCGUGUCUCAGUACCAAUGUGGGGGACCUUCCUCUCAGAACCCCUACUGAUCGUCGGCUAGGUGGGCCGUUACCCCGCCUACUACCUAAUCAGACGCAUCCCCAUCCCAUAGCGAUUAAUCUUUGGUAUUGCUCAGAUGUCCUCAUAAUACAACAUAGGGCAUUAAUCCGACUUUCGCCGGGCUAUUCCCUACUUGGGGGAAGGUUGGAUACGCGUUACUCACCCGUGCGCCGGUCGCCAUCAGUUGUUGCAAGCAACAACCAUGCUGCCCCUCGACUUGCAUGUGUUAAGCCUGUAGCUAGCGUUCAUC
rnacentral:rRNA from 1 species